rnacentral:rRNA from 1 species
GACGAACGCUGGCGGCGUGCUUAACACAUGCAAGUCGAACGGUGAAGCGCCUUCCUUUUUGGUGGGUGUGGAUGAGUGGCGAACGGGUGAGUAACACGUGAGUAACCUGCCCCCUUCUUCUGGAUAACCGCAUGAAAGUGUGGCUAAUACGGGAUAUUCUGGGUCUGUCGCAUGAUGGGUCUGGGAAAGAUAUUGUUUCGGUGGGGGAUGGGCUCGCGGCCUAUCAGCUUGUUGGUGGGGUGAUGGCCUACCAAGGCGGUGACGGGUAGCCGGCCUGAGAGGGUGGACGGUCACACUGGGACUGAGACACGGCCCAGACUCCUACGGGAGGCAGAAGUGGGGAAUAUUGCACAAUGGGCGCAAGCCUGAUGCAGCGACGCCGCGUGAGGGAUGGAGGCCUUCGGGUUGUGAACCUCUUUCGCCAGUGAAGCAGGCCUGCCUCGUUUGUGGGUGGGUUGACGGUAGCUGGAGAAGAAGCGCCGGCUAACUACGUG